rnacentral:rRNA from 1 species
GAUGAACGCUGGCGGCGUGCUUAAUACAUGCAAGUCGAACGGAAAGGCCCUGAUUUUGUGGGGUGCUCGUUUGGCGCACGGGUGAGUAACACGUGAGUAACCUGUCCUUGACUUUGUGGUAACUUUAGGAAACUGGGGCUCAUAUCGCAUAGGAUCUCUUGCUGCACGGUGGGGGAUGGAAAGUUUCGGCGGUUGGGGCAGGUCUCGAGGGUUAUCAGCUUGUUGGUGUGGUUGGUGCUUACAAAGGCUUCGAAGGGUAGCCGGCCUGAGCGGGUGACCAGCGACAAUGGGACUGCGGGACGGCGCAGUCGCCAACGGGACGCAACAGUGGGAAAUAUGCCGCAGUGGGGGGAAGCCAGAUGCAGAGACGCCGCGUGCGGAAUGACGUCCUUCGGGGGGAAAACCACUGUCUCCUGUAACAAGGCCGGAGUGACGGUAAUGAAUAAGAAAGCCCCGGCUAACUACGUG